ACGAACGCUGGCGGCGUGCUUAACACAUGCAAGUCGAACGGUGAAGCCUUUCGGGGUGGAUCAGUGGCGAACGGGUGAGUAACACGUGGGCAAUCUGCCCUGCAUUCUGGGACAAGCCUUGGAAACGAGGUCUAAUACCGGAUAUGACCUGUCCCUGCAUGGGGGUGGGUGGAAAGCUCCGGCGAUGCAGGAUGAGCCCGCGGCCUAUCAGCUUGUUGGUGGGGUGAUGGCCUACCAAGGCGACGACGGGUAGCCG
rnacentral:rRNA from 1 species